GUUACUUCUUCAGCUACUGCAUCCUCAACAGCAGGGGCUGCUUUCUCUUCAACUGGAACAGUCUCUUCUGCUGGUGCUGGUGUUGUUUCGGUCACAGUUUCCUCCGCCACAUGUGUUGGGGCGGAUUCGUUUGCCUUGGGUGCCUCUGGUGUAGUUUUCACCUCGACCUCAACUGGAGCAGUUCCUACUACUUCUAAUGGGGCAGAUUGAACCUUCAUAACCAAAAACAAUUAAAAAGAAAAAGAAUGAAAGAAAGAAAUAUCUCAAUGAAUAUGUAAGAGGCAAAUUGCUAUCAAUUUCUGAAGUAAGAUCAUUGGUCAGGGGCGGAGCUAUAUGGUACAAAUGAAAACUGAAUCUGCUUUGUCGAAAAAUUAUAAUAUACAAAGGAACUAACUGUAUACAUAGAUUGUUGAAUUCCUUUGACAUAAGGAAGUGUAGUGAGAAAGCUGAUUCAGAAAUUGCUUUAAGUUGCAAAUUUGGAUCGUAGGUAUUAACAUUCUUGCAAUUUCAGCAUAUCCUUAUCAAAAUUUCUAACCUCGCCACACUGUCGUUGGUUGAUCAUCAAACUAAAGAUCAUAUUGAAUGAAUAAUCCAAAAUGAUGAAAUGGGGUUACUCUUUUUUUUUAAUUUGAAAGCCAAGAUUUGAUUAAUCAAGGUACUAUUGAUAAUUGACAUAGUAUUUUUUGAAUUCUUGACGAUUUAAAUACACAUAUUCUAACAAAAUUCGCCCGAAAAAAGAAAAUAAAAACAUGUAAUCUCCAGGUUUAAUUUUCAUUAUGAAAUGGUUUAAAACCCCUUGUGCAAGUAUGAUCUAUUAUCUUGUUUUCUUUUUCACAACAAUGAUCAUUAAUCCCCACUAAACUUGAUACCAAGAUUAAAGGUUAACCGAUCUGUUAUAUAGUCAGACAUCUCUGUACAAGCCAUACUUUAUAACAAUUUUUUACUAUACCGGCUAAGUUUUCUUAUAUGUUUUCUAUAAAAACACUUCACUAUACUAAAAAAAAUAAAAAUCGGAACAAACAAGAUUAUUACAGAGGUAUUGUAAAAGAAUUGCUAGCUAGCUGAUCUUCCUUAGAGUAAAUAAACAUUACGUUCUUAUUUGAAAAAAACAUGAAGAAUAAUCAAUGCAUAAAUAACCAGGAAAAUAUACCU
rnacentral:lncRNA from 1 species